rnacentral:rRNA from 1 species
AGCGUACACGGUGGAUGCCCUGGCAGUCAGAGGCGAUGAAGGGCGUGCUAAUCUGCGAUAAGCGCCGGUAAGGUGAUAUGAACCGUUAUAACCGGCGAUACCCGAAUGGGGAAACCCAGUGUGACUCGUCACACUAUCAUUAACUGAAUCCAUAGGUUAAUGAGGCGAACCGGGGGAACUGAAACAUCUAAGUACCCCGAGGAAAAGAAAUCAACCGAGAUUCCCCCAGUAGCGGCGAGCGAACGGGGAGGAGCCCAGAGCCUGAAUCAGCAUGUGUGUUAGUGGAAGCGUCUGGAAAGGCGCGCGAUACAGGGUGACAGCCCCGUACACAAAAGCGCAUGUGCUGUGAGCUCGAUGAGUAGGGCGGGACACGUGGUAUCCUGUCUGAAUAUGGGGGGACCAUCCUCCAAGGCUAAAUACUCCUGACUGACCGAUAGUGAACCAGUACCGUGAGGGAAAGGCGAAAAGAACCCCGGCGAGGGGAGUGAAAAAGAACCUGAAACCGUGUACGUACAAGCAGUGGGAGCNNGUGACUGCGUACCUUUUGUAUAAUGGGUCAGCGACUUAUAUUCUGUAGCAAGGUUAACCGAAUAGGGGAGCCGGAGGGAAACCGAGUCUUAACCGGGCGUUAAGUUGCAGGGUAUAGACCCGAAACCCGGUGAUCUAGCCAUGGGCAGGUUGAAGGUUGGGUAACACUAACUGGAGGACCGAACCGACUAAUGUUGAAAAAUUAGCGGAUGACCUGUGGCUGGGGGUGAAAGGCCAAUCAAACCGGGAGAUAGCUGGUUCUCCCCGAAAGCUAUUUAGGUAGCGCCUCGUGAAUUCAUCUCCGGGGGUAGAGCACUGUUUCGGCUAGGGGGCCAUCCCGGCUUACCAACCCGAUGCAAACUGCGAAUACCGGAGAAUGUUAUCACGGGAGACACACGGCGGGUGCUAACGUCCGUCGUGAAGAGGGAAACAACCCAGACCGCCAGCUAAGGUCCCAAAGUCAUGGUUAAGUGGGAAACGAUGUGGGAAGGCCCAGACAGCCAGGAUGUUGGCUUAGAAGCAGCCAUCAUUUAAAGAAAGCGUAAUAGCUCACUGGUCGAGUCGGCCUGCGCGGAAGAUGUAACGGGGCUAAACCAUGCACCGAAGCUGCGGCAGCGANNGUUGGGUAGGGGAGCGUUCUGUAAGCCUGUGAAGGUGUGUCGUGAGGCAUGCUGGAGGUAUCAGAAGUGCGAAUGCUGACAUAAGUAACGAUAAAGCGGGUGAAAAGCCCGCUCGCCGGAAGACCAAGGGUUCCUGUCCAACGUUAAUCGGGGCAGGGUGAGUCGACCCCUAAGGCGAGGCCGAAAGGCGUAGUCGAUGGGAAACGGGUUAAUAUUCCCGUACUUGGUGUUACUGCGAAGGGGGGACGGAGAAGGCUAUGUUGGCCGGGCGACGGUUGUCCCGGUUUAAGCGUGUAGGUGUGUGUUCCAGGUAAAUCCGGUUCACUUUAACACUGAGGCGUGAUGACGAGGCACUACGGUGCUGAAGCAACAAAUGCCCUGCUUCCAGGAAAAGCCUCUAAGCAUCAGGUAACAUCAAAUCGUACCCCAAACCGACACAGGUGGUCAGGUAGAGAAUACCAAGGCGCUUGAGAGAACUCGGGUGAAGGAACUAGGCAAAAUGGUGCCGUAACUUCGGGAGAAGGCACGCUGACAUGUAGGUGAAGUGAUUUACUCAUGGAGCUGAAGUCAGUCGAAGAUACCAGCUGGCUGCAACUGUUUAUUAAAAACACAGCACUGUGCAAACACGAAAGUGGACGUAUACGGUGUGACGCCUGCCCGGUGCCGGAAGGUUAAUUGAUGGGGUCAGCGCAAGCGAAGCUCCUGAUCGAAGCCCCGGUAAACGGCGGCCGUAACUAUAACGGUCCUAAGGUAGCGAAAUUCCUUGUCGGGUAAGUUCCGACCUGCACGAAUGGCGUAAUGAUGGCCAGGCUGUCUCCACCCGAGACUCAGUGAAAUUGAACUCGCUGUGAAGAUGCAGUGUACCCGCGGCAAGACGGAAAGACCCCGUGAACCUUUACUAUAGCUUGACACUGAACAUUGAGCCUUGAUGUGUAGGAUAGGUGGGAGGCUUUGAAGCGUGGACGCCAGUCUGCGUGGAGCCGACCUUGAAAUACCACCCUUUAAUGUUUGAUGUUCUAACGUGGACCCGUAAUCCGGGUUGCGGACAGUGUCUGGUGGGUAGUUUGACUGGGGCGGUCUCCUCCUAAAGAGUAACGGAGGAGCACGAAGGUUGGCUAAUCCUGGUCGGACAUCAGGAGGUUAGUGCAAUGGCAUAAGCCAGCUUGACUGCGAGCGUGACGGCGCGAGCAGGUGCGAAAGCAGGUCAUAGUGAUCCGGUGGUUCUGAAUGGAAGGGCCAUCGCUCAACGGAUAAAAGGUACUCCGGGGAUAACAGGCUGAUACCGCCCAAGAGUUCAUAUCGACGGCGGUGUUUGGCACCUCGAUGUCGGCUCAUCACAUCCUGGGGCUGAAGUAGGUCCCAAGGGUAUGGCUGUUCGCCAUUUAAAGUGGUACGCGAGCUGGGUUUAGAACGUCGUGAGACAGUUCGGUCCCUAUCUGCCGUGGGCGCUGGAGAACUGAGGGGGGCUGCUCCUAGUACGAGAGGACCGGAGUGGACGCAUCACUGGUGUUCGGGUUGUCAUGCCAAUGGCACUGCCCGGUAGCUAAAUGCGGAAGAGAUAAGUGCUGAAAGCAUCUAAGCACGAAACUUGCCCCGAGAUGAGUUCU